UGCGUAGGCGGACUAAUAAGUCAGUGGUGAAAUCUCUCGGCUCAACCGGGAAACUGCCAUUGAUACUGUUAGUCUUGAGUUCGGUUGAGGUAGGCGGAAUGUGUAAUGUAGCGGUGAAAUGCUUAGAUAUUACACAGAACACCAAUUGCGUAGGCAGCUUACUAGACCGACACUGACGCUGAGGCACGAAAGCGUGGGUAGCGAACAGGAUUAGUUACCCUGGUAGUCC
rnacentral:rRNA from 1 species